rnacentral:miRNA from 1 species
UGAUUGUCCACUCGCAUUUCUUG